GAUGAACGCUGGCGGCGUGCCUAACACAUGCAAGUCGAACGAUGAAACCGCCCUCGGGCGGACAUGAAGUGGCGAACGGGUGAGUAACACGUGACCAACCUGCCCCUUGCUCCGGGACAACCUUGGGAAACCGAGGCUAAUACCGGAUACUCCUCGCCCCCCUCCUGGGGGGCCCGGGAAAGCCCAGACGGCAAGGGAUGGGGUCGCGGCCCAUUAGGUAGUAGGCGGGGUAACGGCCCACCUAGCCCGCGAUGGGUAGCCGGGUUGAGAGACCGACCGGCCACAUUGGGACUGAGAUACGGCCCAGACUCCUACGGGAGGCAGCAGUGGGGAAUUUUGCGCAAUGGGGGAAACCCUGACGCAGCAACGCCGCGUGCGGGACGACGGCCUUCGGGUUGUAAACCGCUUUCAGCAGGGAAGAAAUUCGACGG
rnacentral:rRNA from 1 species